rnacentral:lncRNA from 10 species
GUCACUUUCAAGACAUGAUUGGUUUCCAUUUCUACAGAACUGACACAGAGAAUUAACAGGCAUCUCCUGCUGUGUGUAACUAGAGGACAACUGUGGCCUUUGGGAAACUCCAGAUUCCUCGGUAGUCACAUUACUUUGUGAAGCUGAACUUACCGCAUUGGAGUUCAAUUUAACAAGCUUCUGCGAGGCUGCACCGGGCAGAUGUAAUGCCAAAAUUCUGACUCUAUGCGGGAGAUCAUUUUGUUUUCAUGAGAAGAAAGCAAAACAUUUUCCUCUUCUUUCUGUAGGAGAAGCCAUAUUUAUAUAAGUCAUGAUUUUAAAAGACUUAUGGUUUCCAAACCCAAGCAGGCACUAUCUCUCUAUUUUUUACCUGAACAAUCUUCUGACAUGCCAAGAAAUUGACUGCACUGGGCUGCAGCUCUUGUCUUCAGGCCAGCAGAAAAACAUUAACACUUUCCUGCUUGUCAUACAAGGAUCACACUAACUCAUAGAACUGACUUCUAGUGCUGAUGGCAACUUGAGCCACAACAUUCAAGGAGUUCAAGGAAGAAUUUAUAGGUAAGAUGAAAAGAGCUGUUUCCUCUUUUCAAUAUGCUGGCCAAAGGGCAAAGGCAGUGCCCUCUACUCAUCUCAGGCUCAGUUGAACAAGUCACAAAGAAGAGUUUCAGACACACUCUACUUUUGCCCCUCAUUUAGGCAUACGACUUUUAUAUGACUUUUUCCCCAAAGAUAUUUCUCUCUUUCUUUCUUUCUUUUUUUUUUUUUUUUUUUUGAGACAGAGUCUUGCUCUGUCACCCCAGCUGGAGUGCAGUGGCGUGAUCUCUACUCGCUGCAAGCUCCGCCUCCCGGGUUCAUGCCAUUCUCCUGCCUCAGCCUCCCCAGUAGCUGGGACUACAGGCGACUGCCACCACACCCGGCUAAUUUUUUGUAUAUUUAGUAGAGACGGGGUUUCACCGUGUCAGACAGGAUGGUCUCGAUCUCCUGACCUCGUGAUCCGCCCUCCUCGGCCUCCCAAAGUUCUGGGAUUACAGGCGUGAGCCACCACACCUGGCCAGAUAUUUCUUACACAUUAAACACAAAGCUAUUUUAAACAAAUGUGUCAGAAAAGUCAGUCUCUUCAAAGGAGAACAUCUGCUUAUUCUGCAUUUUUCCCAACUGCAAAGUCUAUCAUCUCUCUGCAGCCUCACUGUGAAGAGCUCUUUAGAAGUGCCCUUUCUAGAACGAACUUCUGGUGAGUCAUCAUCAAUACCUCAUCCUUGUGUCAGACCUCAUCAGGUGUACUUGUCAAUGGAAAAUGUUCCUAAGCCAGUACUUCAAGGAGAGUGUGCAUCUACCUUCUGAGAUUUACUGAAUUACAGCGACCACAAAUAUCCCUCGAGUCAAGUGGGCUAGAGGGUCUGAAAUACAGGCAGGUAUACCUGCAGCAGGGCAGCACAAUGGAUCCAGAUCCUACUGACAAUCAGGGCUGCUUCCGUGGACUUUUGCAGAAGGUCUUUUUAUUCAAGAAUGUGCCUUCCUUUAGUGACGUCUAAUUAUAUGUGAAUUUAGUCAAGAAAAAUGGCAACCGUAUUAUAAUAAGCUAGAAAGUCUUUAGGCCUAGUGUUUUUCAAAUUUUCCUGGUAAGAAGCUUAUUAGGGGGAGCCCAUUAAGAAUACAGAAUUCCAAGCCAAACCUGAGAUCCACUGAAUCAGAAUCUACAAGAGUUAGAUAAUUGGUAUUUUUUAUUGAAAGUCUCAAGUAAGUCUUGAGUUCAAGCAAGAAUAAGAAAUACUGUUUAAGCCAAUAAGGAGGAAGUCCAAUAAGAAUACAUCAGUCCAAGGUCCCCUUAGCCCAGCAUUCAAGGUCUGACAGUAGCCUACUAUCUAUCUGCACUUAUCUGAAAGGGAAAGGCAGUUGUGGUAUAAUAGAAUGAGCAUUGGAGUCAGAGCCAUACCUCAAAAAUUCAGUCUCUGAGUUUAUCUAGUUUGUGACUUGGAAUAAAUUACUUAAACCCACUGAAUUUUCAUUUUGUUGUCUAUAUUAUGAUAAUAAUAAUUCUUACCUCAAACUAUUGUUUUGAGAAUUGAAUUUUAUAACAUUAAAGCAAUAUUUAUUAAGUACUUAGUAUCCAUCAAAUUCUAUGCUAGGUGCUCUUUCUUCUGGUAUCUUAUGUGCCAAAUUCAUCAUAGUCAUUCAAUAAUUAUGGAUGGAAUAAAUGAAAUAUAAUAGUUGAAUAAACAGUAGUCAGUAUAAGCUGCAUAAAAAUAACAUUAAGCUAUCAUAUGACACUUUAUGGUAUUUAAAAUAGUUCUGCUUCAUUAAAACUAUAUUUUAAAGUGUUUAUGGUAGAAAAGAAAGUUUGAUGGAGGGGAUGAUUGUGAGGUCUGUUGGUGUAGAAUGGUGCCUUCAUUCUUGCACUGUGUCAAUGCACACAAGAAAUCAUCAUUUACGAAUAGGCCAGUCAGUGCUGGCCUAGCUUCUGAGCACAGAGAACAAACCCUCACAAGGAUACAGGGUAACCUGAUCAGGGAACAACAGGAGAAAGAAUUCCCCUGUGGGGUAUUUUACAAGUGAAGUGUUUUAUUUCAUUCCAGGUACAACAUAUUAAGAGUUACUCUACAGACUAGAGGAUGAUGAGGAUGUAAUUCAUUAACAAAUGGUACUACUAAAUGGUACUACUGGACUGGCUCUUUGAAAGUACAGAGUUUUUAUUGCAUUUUAUUUAUUUUCCCAAAAUGCUUAAUACUCAGUUACCUCAAGAAACUCAAGGUCAGUGAGGGAGAAAAGCAGGUAAGCAGACAAUUACAAUGCCGUGCCAUUCUCUACAUUGUCCUCUCAACAAAGGAACUCUGUCCCUCCCCGCAGGAUGGAGAAGUCCUGCUUUGGUUGGUCAGGUCUGGGGGACAAUGUUUCCUAAGCAACAGAGCUUUAAGAUAUAGGUAGAGCCCCAUGAAUUCUUUAUCUUCUUCUUCUGCCCAAGCAAGCAGACACAACAGUAAACUAGGAAAUUGACCAAGGGCAGAUCAACCCAUUAUUUCUUUCUUUGGACACUGUCUUUUCCCCAUGUGCUGCCAGGCUGCAGACAUUAAUCAGUCUUGGACUCAGCUCAGCAUGGAACUUUGGAGGCAAAUUUGCUAUCUUUUUAUGUGCCUUGUUCCUUGGCACUGGUGGGUGGGUGUUGAACAGACACUUCCUUUCCCACUAGUGUUCACAUCCAAGGUAGAGAAUCUAGUGGAGUAGACCUUAUGGCCCACUUUAGUUUGAAGUUAUUCAGGCAUAAUUAGCCUAGAAAAAGGAGUUUUGUAUUUGGUCUAAUCUAUUUAAGUUAUUCAUUGGAGUUUAGAGCCAAAGUAUUAAAGAGGUCUGUAGAAGGAGGAAAGCACAGGGAAGGGGUACCCAGUCCUAGCUCGUAGGCAAGGAAGAAGCCAUAGGGGAAGACUUCAAGAAGAGAAGCAACCAGCCAAGCAAAGAAGCUCCUCAGGAUGUUCAUGAAAAGUGAGCACCAUGUGCCAACCCUCGGAG